GAGACAGCAGUCGCCACGGUAAUACGUAGGUGGCAAGCGUUGUCCGGAAUUACUGGGCGUAAAGCGGGCGCAGACGGUUACUUAAGCAGGAUGUGAAAUCCCCGGGCUCAACCUGGGAAUUGCGUUCUGAACUGGGUGGCUAGAGUGUGUCAGAGGGGGGUAGAAUUCCACGUGUAGCAGUGAAAUGCGUAGAGAUGUGGAGGAAUACCGAUGGCGAAGGCAGCCACCUGGGAUAGCACUGACGUUCAUGCCCGAAAGCGUGGGUAGCAAACAGAAUUAGAUACCCCGGUAGUCCCUGUCUCUUAUAU
rnacentral:rRNA from 1 species